GGUAGUCCACGCCCUAAACGAUGUCAACUAGCUGUUGGGGCCUUCGGGCCUUGGUAGCGCAGCUAACGCGUGAAGUUGACCGCCUGGGGAGUACGGUCGCAAGAUUAAAACUCAAAGGAAUUGACGGGGACCCGCACAAGCGGUGGAUGAUGUGGAUUAAUUCGAUGCAACGCGAAAAACCUUACCUACCCUUGACAUGUCUGGAAUGCCGAAGAGAUUUGGCAGUGCUCGCAAGAGAACCGGAACACAGGUGCUGCAUGGCUGUCGUCAGCUCGUGUCGUGAGAUGUUGGGUUAAGUCCCGCAACGAGCGCAACCCUUGUCAUUAGUUGCUACGAAAGGGCACUCUAAUGAGACUGCCGGUGACAAACCGGAGGAAGGUGGGGAUGACGUCAAGUCCUCAUGGCCCUUAUGGGUAGGGCUUCACACGUCAUACAAUGGUCGGGACAGAGGGUCGCCAACCCGCGAGGGGGAGCCAAUCCCAGAAACCCGAUCGUAGUCCGGAUCGCAGUCUGCAACUCGACUGCGUGAAGUCGGAAUCGCUAGUAAUCGCGGAUCAGCAUGUCGCGGUGAAUACGUUCCCGGGUCUUGUACACACCGCCCGUCACACCAUGGGAGUGGGUUUUACCAGAAGUAGUUAGCCUAACCGUAAGAGGGGCGAUUACCACGGUAGGAUUCAUGACUGGGGUGAAGUCGUAACAAGGUAGCC
rnacentral:rRNA from 1 species